rnacentral:rRNA from 1 species
AUUGAACGCUGGCGGCAUGCCUUACACAUGCAAGUCGAACGGCAGCACGGGUGCUUGCACCUGGUGGCGAGUGGCGAACGGGUGAGUAAUACGUCGGAACGUACCUUAUCGUGGGGGAUAACGCAGCGAAAGUUGCGCUAAUACCGCAUACGCCCUGAGGGGGAAAGCGGGGGACCGUAAGGCCUCGCGCGAUUAGAGCGGCCGAUGUCUGAUUAGCUUGUUGGUGAGGUAAAAGCUCACCAAGGCGAUGAUCAGUAGCUGGUCUGAGAGGACGAUCAGCCACACUGGGACUGAGACACGGCCCAGACUCCUACGGGAGGCAGCAGUGGGGAAUUUUGGACAGGGGGGGCAACCCUGAUCCAGCAAUGCCGCGUGAGUGAAGAAGGCCUUCGGGUUGUAAAGCUCUUUUGUCAGGGAAGAAACAGCAGCUCUAACACAGUCUGCGAAUGACGGUACCUGAAGAAUAAGCACCGGCUAACUACGUGUCAGCAGCCGCCGUAA